AUACGUAGGGUGCAAGCGUUAAUCGGAAUUACUGGGCGUAAAGCGUGCGCAGGCGGUUUUGUAAGACAGAGGUGAAAUCCCCGGGCUCAACCUGGGGACUGCCUUUGUGACUCCAAGGCUAGAGUACGGCAGAGGGGGAUGGGAUUUCGCGUGUAGCAGUGAAAUGCGUAGAUAUGCGUAUGAACACCGAUGGCGAGGGCACUCCCCUGGGCCUGUUCUGACACUCAAGCACGAAAGCGUGGGGAGCAAACAGGAUUAGAUACCCUGGUAUUCCACGCCCUAAACGAUGUCAUCUGGUUGUUGGGUCUUCAUUGACUCAGUAACGAAGCAAACGCGUGAAGUUGACCGCCUGAGGAGUACGGCCGCAAGGUUGAAACUCAAAUGAAUUGACGGGG
rnacentral:rRNA from 1 species